GUUCUUGCCAAUCCUUCACACUGAAAACUCCACUCGCAUCCUUAUACCAAUCACACAGUCAAUUGAAUACCGAUUGUCUUUCAUUGAAAACCUACUUAAAGAUGAAAAAUCUUUCAAAAUUAACUGGCCAGCAACAGCAGGAGGAAAAUAUAUAUCUGAUAUAAACUCACCAGUCAUGAAUGUUUUCAUGACAGAUAAGUUACAAAUGAAUUGUUGUCGUUCUGGGAAACGCUCAAACAAAUAUUCGAUUGAGGCUUUUGUAAAGUUUAUUGCAAUUGCUGUUCGAAAGCGUUGCAAAAAUGCUACAGACAAAGAUGUCAAUAAAGCCAUCACCGCUGCACUGCAUAACUCGACAGCUCGUGGUGGUAGACGUAUGCAUCGAGAGAAGAAUGAAUAAAUAAGUUUAAUGAAAAGUUAUUGUAUACUUAUAUGUUUGUAAAUGAAUUUUUAACAAAAAGCAAGAAGCA